GACGAACGCUGGCGGCGUGCUUAACACAUGCAAGUCGAACGGAAAGGCCCUGCUUUUGUGGGGUGCUCGAGUGGCGAACGGGUGAGUAACACGUGAGUAACCUGCCCUUGACUUUGGGAUAACUUCAGGAAACUGGGGCUAAUACCGGAUAGGAGCUCCUGCUGCAUGGUGGGGGUUGGAAAGUUUCGGCGGUUGGGGAUGGACUCGCGGCUUAUCAGCUUGUUGGUGGGGUAGUGGCUUACCAAGGCUUUGACGGGUAGCCGGCCUGAGAGGGUGACCGGCCACAUUGGGACUGAGAGACGGCCCAGACUCAGACGGGAGGCAGCAGUGGGGAAGAUUGCACAAUGGGCGGAAGCCUGAGGCAGCAACGACGCGUGCGGGAGGACGGCCUUCGGGUUGGAAACCGCUUUCGCCUGUGACGAAGCGUGAGUGACGGUAAUGGGUAAAGAAGCACCGGCUAACUACGU
rnacentral:rRNA from 1 species